UCGUCACCAGCGCCACCAUCUAGUCUUUGUUUCUGUGCUGAGUCCCUUCUCUGUCUCCACACUACGCUAUGGCCAACACUUUCAGCGCACUCACUUCGCUCCCACCACCACCACCACUACUAUCACCACUCGUCCCACUACAACCUCCACUGCAAAGGAGAGAGAGAGGUGCUACAGUAAGCUUCCGGCUCCAAGCGACAACCCGGCGCCGUGUUUGGGACGUGAAGUGACAUGCACGGAUCUCCUUCAAAGAUGCCCGUGUCGUCGCCAAUCAGCCAACCACCUGGUCACCUGUUCUCACACCUUGAUUACAGGUGACUGAAGGGCUUUACACUCCUGCACUUUUCCACUCCACCCCACCCCCAACAUAAAAAAAAAAAGAAUAAAAGGUUAAUUCAAGUGUG